rnacentral:rRNA from 1 species
CACGUAGGGUGCGAGCGUUGUCCGGAAUUAUUGGGCGUAAAGAGCUCGUAGGCGGUGUGUCGCGUCGGCCGUGAAAACCUGCAGCUUAACUGUGGGCUUGCGGUCGAUACGGGCAUCACUGGAGUUCGGCAGGGGAGACUGGAAUUCCUGGUGUAGCGGUGAAAUGCGCAGAUAUCAGGAGGAACACCGGUGGCGAAGGCGGCCCGCUGGGCAACUGCUGACACUGAUGCGCGACAGCGUGGGGAGCAAACAGG